rnacentral:tRNA from 1 species
GGCCCUAUCGUCUAACGGUUAGGACAUUAGCUUCUCAAGCUGGCAAUUCGGGUUCGAUUCCCGAUAGGGUCA